rnacentral:tRNA from 1 species
AGUAAAGUCAGCUAAAAAAGCUAUCGGGCCCAUACCCCGAAUAUGUUGGUAUAAAAUCCCUCCUAUACUA